UACAAGCCGGGGUGAUACACUAUUGCGGAUUUCUCCACAGCGAGCGUUCUCUCUUUUUGCCCCUCAGAAACCCAAAUUCCAAAAGAGGGAAUAAGAAAUGGGAAGCAUAGGAUAGCAAUGGGCGGGUCUGUUGCGGGUGCCUGGGGACACAUCCACGAUUGGACGGGAACCGAGCAGCCGGAGCUUGAAGCUGUGGAGAGAAGUGCAAACUAACUUCUACAUGCCUUUCCAGCCUUACCUCCUUACUGACUGCAGGAUAUGGUCGGGAUACGGACGGAAUCAUUAUAUGGGCGCAAUCAUAGUUCAGAAAAAGAGACUUUUAAAAUUAAAUUUUGUCUCUGAUACCAAGUUUGUUUGAAAAAUUAAAAUAUGAAC
rnacentral:sRNA from 1 species